rnacentral:rRNA from 1 species
GUCGCGAAAACUUUGCAAUAAGCGAAAGCUUGACAGGGCUAUCCCGAGUGCCAUCCGCUGAGGAAGGCUUUUACCCAGUCUAGAACGCUGGGGGAAUAAGGAGAGGGCAAGUCUGGUGUCAGCCGCCGCGGUAAUACCAGCUCUCCGAGUGGUGUGGAUGUUUAUUGGGCCUAAAGCAUCCGUAGCUGGCUAGGUUAGUCCCCUGUUAAAUCCACCGAAUUAAUCGUUGGAUUGCGGGGGAUACUGCUUGGCUAGGGGACGAGAGAGGCAGACGGUAUUUCCGGGGUAGGGGUGAAAUCCUAUAAUCCCGGGAAGACCACCAGUGGCGAAGGCUGUCUGCUAGAACGCGCCCGACGGUGAGGGAUGAAAGCUGGGGGAGCGAACCGGAUUAGA